rnacentral:rRNA from 1 species
GAAACUCUGAUGCAGCCAUGCCGCGUGUGUGAAGAAGGCCUUCGGGUUGUAAAGCACUUUCAGUUGUGAGGAAAGGUUAGUAGUUAAUACCUGCUAGCUGUGACGUUAACAACAGAAGAAGCACCGGCUAACUCCGUGCCAGCAGCCGCGGUAAUACGGAGGGUGCAAGCGUUAAUCGGAAUUACUGGGCGUAAAGCGCACGCAGGCGGUUUGUUAAGCUAGAUGUGAAAGCCCCGGGCUCAACCUGGGAACU